UACGAAGGGGGCUAGCGUUGUUCGGAAUCACUGGGCGUAAAGCGCAUGUAGGCGGAUCUCUAAGUCGGGGGUGAAAUCCUGAGGCUCAACCUCAGAACUGCCUUCGAUACUGGAGAUCUUGAGUCCGGAAGAGGUGAGUGGAACUGCGAGUGUAGAGGUGAAAUUCGUAGAUAUUCGCAAGAACACCAGUGGCGAAGGCGGCUCACUGGCCCGGUACUGACGCUGAGAUGCGAAAGCGUGGGGAGCAAACAGG
rnacentral:rRNA from 1 species